rnacentral:snoRNA from 1 species
AUCCUCCAGAUAUUUUCCUCUCAGACCUAAUAUUGGUCUAAGGGACAAAAAAAAGGAGGAGAAGUGAAACCGAAAGGGGCUUGGAUUCUUUAGUGACAUACAUGUUCAUUUCACACAUAU